GUGGGGAAUCUUAGACAAUGGGGGAAACCCUGAUCUAGCCAUGCCGCGUGAGCGAUGAAGGCCUUAGGGUUGUAAAGCUCUUUCAGCUGGGAAGAUAAUGACGGUACCAGCAGAAGAAGCCCCGGCUAACUCCGUGCCAGCAGCCGCGGUAAUACGGAGGGGGCUAGCGUUGUUCGGAAUUACUGGGCGUAAAGCGCACGUAGGCGGAUCAGAAAGUCAGAGGUGAAAUCCCAGGGCUCAACCUUGGAACUGCCUUUGAAACUCCUGGUCUUGAGGUCGAGAGAGGUGAGUGGAAUUCCGAGUGUAUAGGUGAAAUUCGUAGAUAUUCGGAGGAACACCAGUGGCGAAGGCGGCUCACUGGCUCGAUACUGACGCUGAGGUGCGAAAGCGUGGGGAGCAAACAGGAUUAGAAACCCUUGUAGUCC
rnacentral:rRNA from 1 species